UGGGUAUCAAAAAUUAGAUCAAAAUCCAUCAAAAAGCCAAGUAAAUCUCUUCAAUCCUCCUUCAAUCUGCUAUGAAUUUUAAGCUUGAGUUUUUGCCAAUUUAUUGUCAGAAAAAUUUUUGAAAUCUUAGUUGAGCAAGUUCUUCCUUUUUUUUUUGAUCUUUCCAGCACCAUUAGGCCACCGUCAGUCACCGGAGCCCGUGGUUAUCAUCGUUCGAUCGUCGGAGACUGCCCCUUCAGUUGUGGGCGAUGUUGGCCAGGGAAGAGGAUCUCCCUUGCCUC
rnacentral:lncRNA from 1 species